rnacentral:rRNA from 1 species
CACGUAGGGUGCGAGCGUUGUCCGGAAUUAUUGGGCGUAAAGAGCUCGUAGGUGGUUUGUUACGUCUGCUGUGAAAUCCUAGGGCUUAACCCUGGGCUUGCAGUGGAUACGGGCAGACUAGAGGUAGGUAGGGGAGAAUGGAAUUCCUGGUGUAGCGGUGAAAUGCGCAGAUAUCAGGAGGAACACCGGUGGCGAAGGCGGGUCUCUGGGCCGAUACUGACGCUGAGACGCGAAAGCGUGGGGAGCAAACAGG